AGACAGCAGCAGCCGCGGUAAGACAGAGGAUGCAAGCGUUAUCCGGAAUGAUUGGGCGUAAAGCGUCUGUAGGUGGCUUUUCAAGUCCGCCGUCAAAUCCCAGGGCUCAACCCUGGACUGGCGGUGGAAACUACCAAGCUGGAGUACAGUAGGGGCAGAGGGAAUUCCCGGUGGAGCGGUGAAAUGCGUUGAGAUCGGAAAGAACACCAACGGCGAAAGCACUCUGCUGGGCCGACACUGACACUGAGAGACGAAAGCUAGGGGAGCAAAUGGGAUUAGAUACCCGCGUAGUCCCUGUCUCUUAUAC
rnacentral:rRNA from 1 species